rnacentral:rRNA from 1 species
UACGUAGGGUGCAAGCGUUAAUCGGAAUUACUGGGCGUAAAGCGUGCGCAGGCGGUUAUGGAAGACAGAUGUGAAAUCCCCGGGCUCAACCUGGGAACUGCAUUUGUGACUGCAUGGCUAGAGUACGGUAGAGGGGGAUGGAAUUCCGCGUGUAGCAGUGAAAUGCGUAGAUAUGCGGAGGAACACCGAUGGCUAAGGCAAUCCCCUGGACCUGUACUGACGCUCAUGCACGAAAGCGUGGGGAGCAAACAGG